rnacentral:rRNA from 1 species
UACGUAGGGCGCAAGCGUUGUCCGGAAUCAUUGGGCGUAAAGAGCUCGUAGGCGGCCUGUCGCGUCCGCUGUGAAAUCCCGGGGCUUAACCCCGGGCGUGCAGUGGAUACGGGCUGGCUGGAGGCAGGCAGGGGAGAACGGAAUUCCCGGUGUAGCGGUGAAAUGCGCAGAUAUCGGGAGGAACACCAGUGGCGAAAGCGGCUCUCUGGGGGCGAUCUGACGCUGAUGCGCGAAAGCGUGGGGAGCAAACCGG